UCCUUUCCUUCCUACGCACGGAGGAAGGAAAGGUCCUCCGUGUUCCUACGUGAGUUAGAGUAUAGAGUUUGACACUUAUAGAGUGUACUAGAAGUGUAGUGUAGUUGAGUGGUAGGUCAACUGCGCCCACUACCACGCCACUUCGCCGUAAUGAUAACGCAAUGGACAGCCGUAAUGGCAGCAGAGCGUGUCUGCGUUAACAACGUAGUGAGCGCAGACAAGAAUUAAAAUUUUCAUGUUCGUGUCACGAGUGCUGCAACAGCUUUGUAAAGCUACGCGACCACUUCACUUGCUGGAUGUUUUGGGUGACAGAGCGCUCCUUGAGGCAGCAAGAAACGGCCGCACAGUGAAAGUGGCAGUGGAAGGGAACAUUGGAUCUGGAAAGACAACUUUUCUCGAAGGAUGUAAAAGAUUUGUUGAUACAACAGUAAGUU